UACAGAGGGAGCAAGCGUUAUUCGGAAUUAUUGGGCGUAAAGGGCGCGUAGGCGGCUUUGCAAGUGACGGGUGAAAUCCCUCGGCUUAACCGAGGAACUGCCUGUCAAACUGCAUGGCUUGAGACCGGGAGAGGUGAGUGGAAUUCCCAGUGUAGCGGUGAAAUGCGUAGAUAUUGGGAGGAACACCAGUGGCGAAGGCGGCUCACUGGACCGGUACUGACGCUGAUGCGCGAAAGCGUGGGGAGCAAACAGG
rnacentral:rRNA from 1 species